UACGUAGGGCGCAAGCGUUGUCCGGAAUUAUUGGGCGUAAAGAGCUCGUAGGCGGUCUGUCACGUCUGCCGUGAAAACCCGAGGCUUAACCUCGUGGCUUGCGGUGGAUACGGGCAGACUAGAGGUAGGUAGGGGAGAACGGAAUUCCCGGUGUAGCGGUGAAAUGCGCAGAUAUCGGGAGGAACACCGGUGGCGAAGGCGGGUCUCUGGGCCGAUACUGACGCUGAGGAGCGAAAGCAUGGGUAGCGAACAGG
rnacentral:rRNA from 1 species